AAAGACUUGACGGUACUUCACAACAACCUAGAGGAGCCUGUUUAAUAACCGAUACCCCACGAUUAACCCAACCCGCCCUAGCCCUACAGUCUAUAUACCGCCGUCGCCAGCUUACCUUGUAAAAGAAAUAAAGUAAGCAAAACAGACAACCCCUAACACGACAGGUCGAGGUGUAACUCAUGAGCGGGCAAAAAAUGGGCUACAUUUUCUCACACAGAAAACACGGAUAAACUAUGAAACUAGAAACUGAAGACGGAUUUAGCAGUAUGUUAAAAAUAAAACGCUUAACUGAAACUAGUGCAAUGAAGUGCGUACACACCGCCCGUCAUCCCUG
rnacentral:rRNA from 1 species